GUGCUUGCUUUGGCAGCACAUAUACUAAAAAUUGGAAUGACACAGAGAAGAUUAGUGCGGUCCGUGCACAAGGAUGACACUCAAAUUUGUGAAGCAUUCCAUAUAUUU
rnacentral:snRNA from 1 species